rnacentral:siRNA from 1 species
GGAGUAUGAAGCCGCUUCCGGUC